GAUGAACGCUGGCGGCGUGCCUAAUACAUGCAAGUCGAGCGGACAGAUGAUGCUCUUGCUCCGCUGACGUGAGGGGCGGGCGUGUGAGUAACGCGUGUAUAACCUACCUGUAAUACGGGUAUAACUUCGGGAAACCGGAGAUAAUACGGUAGAAUAUAUUGAAGCGCAGGGUGGGAUGGUGAAAUACGGUGUUGGUGGCACUUAUAGAGGGAUACGCGCCGGAUGGGAUAGUUGGGAGGUUAAAGGGUUACCAAGGCAACGAUGCGUUGCCGAGGUGAGAGGGUGAUAGGCCACACUGGAAGUGAGCCACGGACCAGAGUCCUACGGGAGGCAGCAGUAGCGAACCUUCGGCAACGGGCGGAAGCAUGACGCAGCGAGGCCGAGUGAGAGAUGAAGGUCUCCGGAUCGUAAAACCCGGUUACUAGGGAAGAACCACUGUCUCAGUAAAUAUGCACGGCUUGACGGUACCUAAUAAGAAAGCAACGGCUAACUACGUG
rnacentral:rRNA from 1 species